AGAAACAACAAUCUAUCCAUAAUGAUCAAUCAUGGACCACGGGACAUUUUCGAUGAGUUUCUAAGGAGGUGCAACUCUCAUUUGCGAAACAUGUACACAAUGGUGCAACUACUGAAAAACACCUUACUCAAAUUUGAUGCAGAAAAUAUUCCGUCUCAUGUUGAUUAUUUCCAUCUCACCUCAGGAUAGCCGACCUUCCCACCUUGACCAUAAACGACCUAAAGCUACGAUCAUUCCAACUAGCAAUACUCGAUAGCAGUUGCCCAGAAUCAUUACCCAAUUGUUAUAAUGGUGUAAGAUAAGGUGCCGGAGAUCGUCGGAUCGAUGACAAUUCAUCUUAGUCGCAUGUUAACCGCGGGACUCGAUCAAUGCAUGCAAUCUUCAUGGAGGUGGCUGCCACUCAUCAUGGAAAGGGUCACCAAACUUUCUUAUAAAUAUAAGGAGGUAGGGGAUCUUCAGAUCCAGCAAGAAAAAAAAAAACUCCUCUCGCUCUCUUUCUUUCUUCCAUCAUUCUCUGAUCUGAGUUGUGCAUUGGAGACUCACCAUCAGAAAAUUUCUGAUAAGGGACUUCUUUACAAAUCAUUUUUCUCUCUGAAAGCUUCAGCCACUCCACCUAUUUUAGCUCAAAUCAGCACAACCGACCUCAAUCUUGCAUUGGAGAUCAGCAGCAA
rnacentral:lncRNA from 1 species